rnacentral:rRNA from 1 species
AAUGAACGCUGGCGGCGUGCCUAACACAUGCAAGUCGAGCGAGAAAUCCCGGGUUCGCCUGGGAGAGUACAGCGGCGCACGGGUGAGUAACGCGUGGGUAACCUGCCCUCGAGUGGGGGAUAACCUUCCGAAAGGAGGACUAAUCCCGCAUACGUCAUCAGGACACAAGUCCUGAUGGGAAAGAUGGCCUCUGUUUACAAGCUAUCGCUCUUGGAUGGGCCCGCGUUGGAUUAGCUAGUUGGUGAGGUAACGGCUCACCAAGGCCGCGAUCCAUAACUGGUUUGAGAGGACGACCAGUCACACUGGAACUGAGACACGGUCCAGACUCCUACGGGAGGCAGCAGUGGGGAAUUUUGGACAAUGGGCGCAAGCCUGAUCCAGCCAUUCCGCGUGCAGGAUGAAGGCCUUCGGGUUGUAAACUGCUUUUGUACGGAACGAAACGGCGAGCUCUAAUACAGUUUGCUAAUGACGGUACCGUAAGAAUAAGCACCGGCUAACUACGUGACC